UUCCCAGUUUUUAAAAUGUCAAUCUUCCAUACUAAAUCAAAAUAAAAUGUAAAAAGUAACAACUUUGUAAUCAGCAUUCAGAAAUUAUUCAAUUAUACAGGGAACAUUGAUGAAACAAGGUGAUAACUUCCAUCUUCCAAGCAUGAACUUUUAAUGGUUUUUUAUAUGAACAUGUGAAAUCAAUCAAUAGUAAUUUGAUAGAACAAUCAAAUUUCUUUCGUUUAACAAUGCAAUUACCUCAGACAUCAGUGUGAUUGAUUAUUCACCUAACUCGUGAAAUAACGUUAAAACCAAAACACUGUUACGCUGCUGAGAAAUUACAUGAAGGUCAAAUUGUUUGUUUUGCAAUAAAACAAUAUGUUUAAAUGCCAUAAAAUUUUACUGUUACAUUAAUAUUCUAUGACACGAUUAAAGCAAUGGACUUGACAAAUUAUAAAGUUCUUGAAAUCUAUGCUGUGUAGAAUUUUAAUUGAUACAAAUAUUAAAUGACAGCGUUUUGAAAGAUACUUGAAAACAAAGAGUGCAAAGAUAAAAAACUCUGAUAUUGUCAUGACAACCAAUUCAAGUUAUGUUAUUCUGAAUAACCAAAAAAGUUUGAAGUAAAUCUUUUUGGCUUUAUAUAUGAUAAGAAAGAAGGGAUAUGGUAUGGAUGUAUAAGAAAAUAAAUUGCUUCCCUGAGCGUAGCUGGAUACGACCGCAGAGGUCCAACCCUGAACAGUUGGGGCAAAAAUGGACGCAAUAUUCGCGCUUGAUACAGGUCUGAAUUUGGAUUGUAAUUAAAUAUUUGACACAUAAAAGGUUUCUGAUACAGAAUAACUGUAGUCAAAGAACUUAGAAUUGGUUAUAUGAUUUGAAUUUAUAUUCAAUUUUUUGUUUUUGUGCAAUACACUUUGCUGUUGCAAAUUGACCCCCCUCCCCCCACAAAAAAAAAAAAAAAAAAUUAC